AUUGAACGCUGGCGGAAUGCUUUACACAUGCAAGUCGAACGGCAGCACGGGAGCUUGCUCCUGGUGGCGAGUGGCGAACGGGUGAGUAAUGCAUCGGAACGUACCUAUUAGUGGGGGAUAACUAUCCGAAAGGAUAGCUAAUACCGCAUACGUCCUGAGGGAGAAAGCGGGGGAUCGCAAGACCUCGCGCUAAUAGAGCGGCCGAUGUUGGAUUAGCUAGUUGGUGGGGUAACGGCCUACCAAGGCGACGAUCCAUAGCUGGUCUGAGAGGGUGAUCAGCCACACUGGGACUGAGACACGGCCCAGACUCCUACGGGAGGCAGCAGUGGGUCAUUCUGGACAAUGGGGGCAACCCUGAUCCAGCCAUUCCGCGUGAGUGAAGAAGGCCUUCGGGUUGUAAAGCUCUUUCGGCAGGAACGAAACGGUGGUUACUAAUACUAGCUACUAAUGACGGUACCUGAAGAAGAAGCACCGGCUAACUACGUGCCAGCCGCCGCGGUAA
rnacentral:rRNA from 1 species